CGAAAGUUCGUUAGCGUGUCCGGAGCUUCGGUUUCGGCGCGUCGGCGAGUGCGCGUUCUUAUUUUCUAGCCGACUCGCCAGACGGUACGUAACGGUGAUCGCGGCGGCCUCAGCGUCGCCGCUCGACGCCUGUCUGCGACGAAUCUUCGAGUCUCUUUCCGACCCGUCUUGAAACACGGACCAAGGAGUCUAACGUGCGCGCGAGUCGCGGGGCAUCGAACGGUCGGCGUUCGCGUCGGCCGUUCGUUAUAAUACGAAACCCGUCUCGUUUUACGAAAGGCGCAAUGAAAGUGAAUUUUGGGGAAGAUGACGUUACCGAGUUCACGUUCCGCGCUCUUGUAGCGCGGCCGGUCGUCCGCAUUCCCAGGGUGUCUCAAAGUCCGAUUCUAUCGCGGACUGUCGCCUCUUCGGGGACGGCAGUCGGAUUCUAUCGAGCUGAGGCGCACCUAUAGCGUGCACGUUGGUACC
rnacentral:rRNA from 1 species